CUUUCUUUUAAAAAUUGAGGUAUAUCCCCGUGGGGGCCCGGUGCACAGUGGCUGCAAACAGCAGCCUCCUCAGUAGUGUGUGCAGCCUGUUGCCUGUAUGCGUUGCCCUAAGGGACCUUGGAGACAGCC